rnacentral:rRNA from 1 species
AUGUUGCCCCUCCUCAUGGAGCCGCUUCCACCCAUGGCUCCCGAGGCCGCCACCUCGGCGCAUAAACAUCAAACAUUCGGGGCCGCCGCCCCGACGUCCACCAACCUCAACGACAAGAACGACACAAACAUCUGCAUCUGGCUCUCCAAGAUGACGCCUCCAAGGAGGAUGCGACGUAGCUGCCAUCGUCGCCCGCUCCGAGAGAUCAGAGCUAGGGAUUUCUCCCGGAGAGCCCAUCCGCCAUGGGGUGGGAAGAGGCUCCACGACCAUGCCUCCAAUGAGGAAAAUGGCACCGAGGUGCCACCGCUGCCGGCACCAACCGAGGUCGGGCAAGGCUUUCGCCUGGAGCUCAUCCACAAACCCGAGAAUGGUGAGGUUGCACAAACAGAUCUGGGCACCAGAGCGCCAAGAUGGCCGGAGCAUGCAGCAUGUCACAAACACCCUGAUCGAAGCCCACCAAUCUGCAUCUCGCGUCACGUCCUCCACAGCACCUCUCGCUACGUCGGCCGAAACACCACCACCGGCCAUGGAUCCGCGUAG